GGACAGAGGUGCCGAGCGUUAGGGCGGAAAUCACUGGGCUUAAAGCGUGUGUAGGCGGGCCGUUAAGUGUCUUGUGAAAUCCCCCGGCUCAACCGGGGAAUUGCUGGGCAUACUGGCGGUCGUUGAGCAAUCUAGGGGCAGAUGGAACAAGUGGUGGAGCGGUGAAAUGGCGUAGAUAUCACUUGGAACGCCAAAGGUGAAGACAGUCUGCUGGG
rnacentral:rRNA from 1 species